rnacentral:rRNA from 1 species
AACACUUCUUCCCAUUCCGAACAGAGCGGUUAAGCCCCUCAGCGCCGAUGGUACUUGGAUUUAAUCCCGGGAGAGUAGGUCACUGCCAAUU